AUAAAUUCAUGCAGAUAAGUUGCUUUGAAUGGUGCCUGGCACACAUAGGAGAAGCCUGGCCAUAGUGUUAGUGUUAUCUGUUCAUUCACAUCCACUCCACACCAGUUUACUGAGCUCCUACGACAUGACAGGUGUGACCCACAGAUGGACAAGAGGGCACAUUCUAUUCCUGAGAGGACCAGAGUCCAGUGAGGGUAUCCGGAAUAUGGAGAUAUGAACAGAUCAUUUCAAAAUAUCGUUGCUGUGGCUGGAUGGAGUGUUGGCUUGAAGCUUCAAGGCUUGAAGGUUAUCUCCUUUGCAAGAUUAUUUGAUCAGAAUAUUUUUUAAUGGCAGACUUCCCUGGUGGCACAGUGGUUAAGAGUACGCCUGUCAAUGCAGGGGACAUGGGUUCGAGCCCUGCUCCGGGAAGAUCCCACAUGCCGCGGAGCAAUGAAGCCCCUGCACCACAACUACUGAGCCUGCGCUCUAGAGCCCGUGAGCCACAACUACUGAGCCCACAUGCCACAACUACUGAAGCUGUGCACCUAGAGCCCGUGCUCUGCAGCAAGAGAAGCCACCGCAGGGAGAAGCCCUCACACCGCAAUGAAGAGUAGCCCCGCUCGCCGCUAGAGAAAGCCCACACGCAGCAAUGAAGACCCAAUGCAGCCAAAAAUAAAAAUAAAUAAAAUAAAAUUUUUAAAAAAGAAAGAAAAGCCUUAUGAUAAAAUAAGCCAUAGCUAUUUAAACAAAGAAUGUUUUUUAAUAAAAGUCGCUAUAAAACUGAUUUUUACAUGGAAACAACUGUGGAAAUGUGGACAAAUCACAGUCAUUUGCUCUAACUCAGUCAAGAUCAGUGGUUCAGACACGUGUUCAACUUUAACCGGAAUGAGAGUCUUAUCUGCUGGUGUGCCUUAUCUGGACACGAUUUUUAGACUUUAAACCAGGUAUCAGUCAAUGCCAUGCCUGCCUUAGAAGAAAGUUGUGGCAGAGAAGUAUAUUUUGGUCUUUGUCCCCAGUUUCUGGCAUAGAGCUCCUAAAACCCUUGGAAUUUCCUGAGCGAUACGAGUGGCCUUCUGCUAUUCACAGCUACACAGCAAUCUGAGGCUGGAUUUUCUUCAUAUACCUCAACCAAAACAAUAUACAGCAGCAGACUAAAUGCUGAAGUGGAUGUGAGAAUCCAGCUACUUCUGAACUGCUGCUGCCAUCUUGGUUCCAGCCUGAGCAGGAAGCAAGCACUCAAAAGGCCAGAGCAGAGAGAUGGAAAAAACCCUGCAUCCAACGUCAACAACCCCAAUGGAAAGUGAGAAAAGUAGGUGAAGACAAAGUUCACAGAAAAGGAAAAACAAGUAAGUAGCCCUUAAGCACAGGAAAAAAUGCUCAACUUAACUCAUAGUAAGAGCAAUUAAAAUUGAAAUAAGACUGUUAUACCACUUUUCACCUAUCAGAUUGGCAAAAAUCCAAAUGUUUGACAAUACAUUCUGUUGGUAGGGCUGUGAGGAAGCAGGGACUCUCAUGCGUGAAGGGCAAAAUGGCACAAUCUCCUGUGUCAGGGAAGGAGUGAACAAAGGAACCCAUGAACUGGGGUCUUUAUGUCCUCACUGAGAUGCUGUAUCAGCUUACCUGGAAACCACCCUCUCGUGGGACUUCCUAUUAAAUGACACAAUAAAUGUUCUCACUGAUGAAACCAGCUUGAGUACGGUUUCUGUUACCUAGAGCCAAAACUAUCCCAAAUGAUGUCCUGCCCCCCACCCUGAGCCCAGGAGCAAAGUUGUUCUGUCCAGAAGCCAGAUCACAGAGUCUAAUUGGGUCAUUCAGGGACUGGCCAAAUCCAAACAGGUACAGGUCCAAAUGCUGAGGUCAUCAAUGACAGCAAAAUCCCCCCCAGAGAAAGGGCCACAAGCUGUUCCAAAAGCGGUGGGUGGGCAACUGCCUAGGGUAAUAUACAAUCCUUACGGUCAUGAGAGGGGGCUGCAGCCUGAGUGGUUAAAAGGCCUGAUGGAGGGGCUUCCCUGGUGGCGCAGUGGUUGAGAGUCCGCCUGCCGAUGCGGGGGAUGCGGGUUCGUGCCCCGGUCCGGGAGGAUCCCACAUGCCGCGGAGCGGCUGGGCCCGUGAGCCAUGGCCGCUGAGCCUGCGCGUCCGGAGCCUGUGCUCCGCAACGGAAGAGGCCACAACAGUGAGAGGCUCACGUACCGCAAAAAAAAAAAAAAAAAGGCCUGGUGGAAUCCAAUGUAGAGAUGAUCCUAAAAAGUUGGAACUUGAGGUGAUAAGAUGACUACCUUGGGCUUUCUUGAUCUGAUGUCUUCAGCUGUUUGGUUCAUCUGAUUGUCUUUAUUUGAAUUUUUUAUUCACUGAGCAACUUUCUAGUUCCUGAGGAUUUCCAAACUGUGUGGCAAUUCUAUACCUGACUAAAAUGAAUCAAUUAGCAUUUGCUUUGUCUUUUGAAAUAUUACUAGUGAAGAAUGGACAGACCCAGUGGAAUCUCUCAAUCCUCUCGCACCCAAUAUUCCUCACUAAUGACCUUCCUGGUCUGAGAUGUGGUUAAAACAGUUGACUCCUGCCCUCAAGCUACACCACUUCAUGUAUUGCAUUUCAUAACCCCUGACCUCUAUACUGAACCCAAUGACUGGAACAAACUUCCAGGCUAUUCACAGUCAGCGUGCAUGGCUACCACCUGUAGUGUACUACAGCCCCAUCCAUGUAUAGGCCUGCAUCAGUCCUGCCCAAGUAUUCACUGCCAUGAGAAUACCUGGCUUCUGGGAUUGGGAGACUUCAUGACUCUGGGGAUCCAAAGAACUUGGUUGGCUCCCUUCUAGGACGGAGGCAGGACAAAGGCAUAAUCAGUAGAACCUCACCGAGGUUGUACUGCAAGGGGUACUCUGAUGCCCCUAGGAAUAGCCCUGGGUUGGCUAGAGGCAGUAAGAGGUGUACAUGUGGGCCAGGUAUCCCUGGUAGUGGUUCAUGUUUGACCAUGUGGCAGCCCAAUGAUAGGAGCAGGAGGGUGGGAAGGAGUAUGGGGUCUUUGGCAAGGAUGGAACAGUGAGAGGAGGUGCCAGGUAGGCCACCAUGCCUUGGAGGCAUAAUGGUUGUAUCUCCAAAGUUGUGUAGAUGCUGGCCUCCUUCUUGACAAAUAUUCAGUCCCAGAAGGCCUCAGUCUUCGGGCCUGAUAUUCUUCCAGACUCCUCUCAGACCAUAUUUCCAGCAAGUGUCCUGCCAUCAGCCUUCCACCCACUCUGAAUACUGCUCUCAGCACAUUUAUGUUUAGUUUAUACCCUGCUGUUAAUUUGUGAUUGUUUGCAAGUUGUGUCAUGUGUGUAUAUCCUGUCUAAGGUAGAUACAGCCCCUGAGAUCAGGAUCUGUCUUGUAGUUUUUUUUUUAAUCUCCAUUCUCCUCCUCCACAAACACUACCACCAGCAAUAACAAUGAGCACCUAAUACAGGGCAUUACGUAUUGUAGACAAAAAUGCUUGUAAAUAAGGUAAUAUCACCAAUGCUCAGAGGUUUGCCCCCAUUGCAGACAAACACUAUGCAGGUGAAAAGCUGAGUUUUCAAAGCUGAGAAAUGUGUAGAGAGGAGCUCUUUACUCUCACAGAUUAUUUUAUGAAUGAGGUAUCCACUUGCCCUGACAGGGCUGUGAGAAUCACAAAAGAAGUGGAAGGCAUGUUCCAUAACCUCACGGAACAUAUUAACCUGGGAAGACUCUUCACAGAACUGGAAAAUACCUAAAACAACAAUUUUCAGACAUCCCAUCCUCCUGCUUUAGCAGAUAAACGUAAAAGAAAUUAAAGUCAGAAAAAUUUGCUUUGGCGUUGGAAAAUCUGAAAUAGCUUUUUCUAGAAGUCUUACUAUGAGUUUCCUUGAGAUGUCAACCUAACUUAUGUGAUUUGUGUUUUCAGCUUUUCAGAAAUGUAUUUCCUUUUUUAAAACUUCCCUAAAGUAAAGUAAAAGUGUAAAUAUGUCGUAGUCCAGGAAGACCAAGGUGCUGAUUGUCUCCUGGCCACGAGGGGGCAUGGUCUCCCUAGUUCUGAGCUCAGGAGCCGACUAUGGUGACCCCAGCUGUGCCCAGGCUCAGCCUAGCUGGGACUUCAAGCCCCUCCCUGUAGCCCAGGUCAGGGUCUCAAUGGACACCAGACCUCUUCUCCUUUUUGGGCAGCUCCUGCAGCGGGUACAUCUUGGGUGCGGAAGGCGACGAGCAGUCAGGCUGGGAGGAGAUCAUGUUUAAAUUACAGACUGGGCAGGAGUGAUGUGCUGGCAGCUUCACCCAGGAGCCAGAAGGGCGGUGGUGUCUGGGGCAUGACCUUGGGUAGCUGGGUUGCUGGUUAGGGUGUUGAGCAGAGCCUGGCUGGCGAGGCUGAGAGAGCAUGCGUGUGGCAACCACAACAGAGGUGGGGGCCCCACGGGGCCUGUGAGAUCCAUUGUCCUGCCUGGCCAGCUCCUACGAGCCCUGCCAGAAUUGGGACUGUGUGGUGUGGCCCAGGCCAAGUCCACACUUUUCAGCAAGGUCCUCUGCGGUCUGGCUUCAAUCUGCCUUCCUCAACAUUGCCUUCUCUAAAAGUAGCUCUUCUCCUGCCAAGCUGAAUGACCUGCUCUUCCCCCAAAUGACUUGCACUUUACUUCACUCACGUAUUCAUUCACUUAUGCAUACCAUGCAAUAAACAUGUAUUGAGGAACUUCCCUGGUGGUCCAGUAGUUAAGACUCUGCGCUCCCAAUGCAGGGGACCCAGGUUCCAUCCCUGGUCAGGGAACUAGAUCCCGCAUGCCGCAACUCAAAAAAAAAAAGA